GUUCUUCCCUCUUGGAAAAAUCCAAGAGUUUUAGGAGCAAGAGUCCAUCCACAACAGUCAAAAUAUGUGAAAAGAGCCCUAAAAUUUUUUAAAGAAGAACUGGAACACAUUGGAGAGAGACCC
rnacentral:ribozyme from 1 species